rnacentral:tRNA from 2 species
GUUCAAAUAGCUUAUAAAGAGCAUAACACUGAAGAUGUUAGGGAGAUUUUAGGAUCUUUGAACA